AUUGAACGCUGGCGGCAGGCCUAACACAUGCAAGUCGAGCGGUAGCACAGAGAGCUUGCUCUCGGGUGACGAGCGGCGGACGGGUGAGUAAUGUCUGGGAAACUGCCUGAUGGAGGGGGAUAACUACUGGAAACGGUAGCUAAUACCGCAUAACGUCGCAAGACCAAAGUGGGGGACCUUCGGGCCUCAUGCCAUCAGAUGUGCCCAGAUGGGAUUAGCUAGUAGGUGGGGUAACGGCUCACCUAGGCGACGAUCCCUAGCUGGUCUGAGAGGAUGACCAGCCACACUGGAACUGAGACACGGCCCAGACUCCUACGGGAGGCAGCAGUGGGGAAUAUUGCACAAUGGGCGCAAGCCUGAUGCAGCCAUGCCGCGUGUGUGAAGAAGGCCUUCGGGUUGUAAAGCACUUUCAGCGGGGAGGAAGGCGGUGAGGUUAAUAACCUCAUCGAUUGACGUUACCCGCAGAAGAAGCACCGGCUAACUCCGUGCCAGCAGCCGCGGUAAUACGGAGGGUGCAAGCGUUAAUCGGAAUUACUGGGCGUAAAGCGCACGCAGGCGGUCUGUCAAGUCGGAUGUGAAAUCCCCGGGCUCAACCUGGGAACUGCAUUCGAAACUGGCAGGCUAGAGUCUUGUAGAGGGGGGUAGAAUUCCAGGUGUAGCGGUGAAAUGCGUAGAGAUCUGGAGGAAUACCGGUGGCGAAGGCGGCCCCCUGGACAAAGACUGACGCUCAGGUGCGAAAGCGUGGGGAGCAAACAGGAUUAGAUACCCUGGUAGUCCACGCCGUAAACGAUGUCGAUUUGGAGGUUGUGCCCUUGAGGCGUGGCUUCCGGAGCUAACGCGUUAAAUCGACCGCCUGGGGAGUACGGCCGCAAGGUUAAAACUCAAAUGAAUUGACGGGGGCCCGCACAAGCGGUGGAGCAUGUGGUUUAAUUCGAUGCAACGCGAAGAACCUUACCUGGUCUUGACAUCCACAGAACUUUCCAGAGAUGGAUUGGUGCCUUCGGGAACUGUGAGACAGGUGCUGCAUGGCUGUCGUCAGCUCGUGUUGUGAAAUGUUGGGUUAAGUCCCGCAACGAGCGCAACCCUUAUCCUUUGUUGCCAGCGGUCCGGCCGGGAACUCAAAGGAGACUGCCAGUGAUAAACUGGAGGAAGGUGGGGAUGACGUCAAGUCAUCAUGGCCCUUACGACCAGGGCUACACACGUGCUACAAUGGCAUAUACAAAGAGAAGCGACCUCGCGAGAGCAAGCGGACCUCAUAAAGUAUGUCGUAGUCCGGAUUGGAGUCUGCAACUCGACUCCAUGAAGUCGGAAUCGCUAGUAAUCGUAGAUCAGAAUGCUACGGUGAAUACGUUCCCGGGCCUUGUACACACCGCCCGUCACACCAUGGGAGUGGGUUGCAAAAGAAGUAGGUAGCUUAACCUUCGGGAGGGCGCUUACCACUUUGUGAUUCAUGACUGGGGUGA
rnacentral:rRNA from 1 species